UUAAGAAGAUCCUUUAGUUUUCUAGAGAUCAGCUCUCCAAGGUUGGUUAAAGGCGUCAUCAUGUGCUUUGCAGUUCCUCCAAUACCAUAUGAACCAGCAACAGGUAGC